GGCCGCUUGCUGGAACUGGUAGACAGACCGGACUUAAAAUCCGUUGGGCGUAUGCCCGUGUGGGUUCGAUUCCCACAGCGGCCACCA
rnacentral:tRNA from 1 species